rnacentral:rRNA from 1 species
UACGAAGGUCCCAAGCGUUGUUCGGAAUCACUGGGCGUAAAGGGAGCGUAGGCUGUACGGUAAGUCAGAUGUGAAAUCCCGGGGCUCAACCCCGGAACUGCAUCCGAUACUGCCGUACUAGAGGAUUGGAGAGGUAGCUGGAAUUCACGGUGUAGCAGUGAAAUGCGUAGAUAUCGUGAGGAACACCAAUGGCGAAAGCAAGCUACUGGACAACUCCUGACGCUGAGGCUCGAAGGCCAGGGUAGCGAAAGGG